CGCCAGACUCCUACGGGAGGCAGCAGUGAGGAAUAUUGGUCAAUGGGCGAGAGCCUGAACCAGCCAAGUCGCGUGAGGGAGGACGGCCCUACGGGUUGUAAACCUCUUUUGCCGGGGGACAAACGGCGGCACGCGUGCCGUCCUGAGGGUACCCGGAGAAAAAGCAUCGGCUAACUCCGUGCCAGCAGCCGCGGUAAUACGGAGGAUGCGAGCGUUAUCCGGAUUUAUUGGGUUUAAAGGGUGCGCAGGCGGUCUGUUAAGUCAGUGGUCAAAGCCCGGGGCUCAACCCCGGCCCACCGUUGAAACUGGCAGUCUCGAGUUGGAGAGAAGUAUGCGGAAUGCGCGGUGUAGCGGUGAAAUGCAUAGAUAUCGCGCAGAACUCCGAUUGCGAAGGCAGCAUACCGGCGCCCAACUGACGCUGAAGCACGAAAGCGUGGGUAUCGAACAGGAUUAGAUACCCCAGUA
rnacentral:rRNA from 1 species